rnacentral:rRNA from 1 species
GAUGAACGCUGGCGGCGUGCUUAACACAUGCAAGUCGAACGAUUAAAGCCCCUUCGGGGGUGUAUAGAGUGGCGAACGGGUGAGUAACACGUGGGCAACCUGCCCUGCGCUUCGGGAUAACUCAGGGAAACCUGAGCUAAUACCGGAUACUCCUUGAGGAUCGCAUGGUCUUCUCGGGAAAGUUCCGGCGGCGCAGGAUGGGCCCGCGGCCCAUUAGCUUGUUGGUGAGGUAACGGCUCACCAAGGCGACGAUGGGUAGCCGGGCUGAGAGGCUUAUCGGCCACACUGGGCCUGAGACACGGCCCAGACUCCUACGGGAGGCAGCAGUGGGGAAUUUUGCGCAAUGGGCGAAAGCCUGACGCAGCAACGCCGCGUGCGGGAUGAAGGCCUUCGGGUUGUAAACCGCUUUCAGCAGGGAUGAAACUGACAGUACCUGCAGAAGAAGCCCCGGCUAACUACGUGCCAGCCGCCGCGGUAA